ACUGCCUUUGGUUUUCCUGCUUCUGCCCCUCGCUUGCCAGUUAAAAGAAUAAGAAGGUCAAAUUGGAACAGGUGAAUUCUCUCUGUUGUCAUCUGCAACGAUGACAAAAAGAAUCGGGAGAAUAGCUCAGCCAGCCAAAGUAGGAAGGGCCAAGGAGAAACCUUCUCUCUCUUGACUUCAAUGUUUUCUAGUUCAGACUGUGCCAUUGACAUUUGAAGCUCAAUUUCUUUUUUUAUUUUGUUUAUAAAGAAUGCCUUUAUGAAAACCUGUACUUUUUCUAGUCACUGACUCCAAGGCCAGUGCUCAAGUUAUUUCUUUACCCUGCACUGGUUUACAUAAUAUUUUCCUCCUCCACAAACCUAAAAAUGGAAAGUGGAGUCUCAACCUGUUUCAAAACACUCCAGAGGAAGGUACCAAGUUGAGGAAGGUACCAUGUUGAUCAGGCUGACAUGGUAAACCUGAGAGAUGGAUAUGAUGACCAUGAUAUUUGUGUCCUUAAGCACAACUCAUCAGGAUAGGUAAACAACACUGAUUAAGUUCUUGUCUAAGUUCUACGUUAUUACUACAGAAACCCCAGAAGUGGCGGAUGCAGCAAAGCGCAAGGAAGGAACCUUGAGCCACGUCAUUCUGAGCACGUGGCACAAGUUACUAUGAUGCCUCUAGGAAAGUUGCUCAAUUUAUUCAAGCCAUGGUUUUCCUAUUUGUUCAGGUGCUGCAAUUUCAGCCAUCUCGCGAGACCAGGCAGGUCAUGUAAAUAAGCGGUCAGAAGCAAUCAGCCGGAAGUGCACGGUACAGGGCUGGCUUCUUCUGAGGGUUCAUCAGUGCGGGUCUCCCCAAGCACCAUACCAGCCAAAUGGAAUGCAGCUAUGACUGAAUUUGACCCCAGAUACACUGUGUUUCAGAGGCUUUACAGCACAUAGCAACGUUUAGGGUUUGUUGGCCACUGGGGUCAACAUGUUCACUGCCUGCAGGGAACUGGCCAGAAACAGGAGAUGAAGGAGACCCAACAGCAGUUGAUGACCUCAGUCCUGUUACUUCAACUGAGAAUGAGUGCUAAGCCGCUGAGCUUCCCAAGAACAAGCUGAGGACAUCAGGCCAAAGAGGACCGGGUAUUUUUCCUGAAGGUAUUAAACUAGUGUACUUCCAAGUACACCAAGCUUCACAACCAACAAUGAGGAAUGUGGUGAUACAGAUGCUACAAUCAAGGUGAAGAUACAGUUGACUAAAGCUGUCACUAAAUAAAAUCCAGGUGCACUCCACGGGGGAGAGCUUCUUCUGAUUCCCAUUCUUACUGAUGGGGAAACUGAGGCUGCAGAGAGGUUUAACUGCUUGCUCAAAGUCACCAGCUGAUCAGACCACUGGGACAGGGUCCCUCGGACUUUCCAUGAUCCCAAAGGUUCAGAGCUCAGACUUGAGGGCUGAACAGCACAGAUGAAAAUCCAAGCUCUGCUGUGGACCAGAGGAGUGACCUUUCUCUGUCUCCUCAUCCAUUCCUCAGAUGAGGACAGAAAGGCCCAGAGAGGUGGAGGAACUUGCCCACAGUCACAGAGCCUGCAAGAACAGACAGGGUGCAGAUCUAGAUCUGGCUGACUCUCUUCCUCCGUGCCUCCCUGCCGCCCUGCGUGCCUGCAAGCUGGAUUGCUUUCAUCUCAUGCUGAGAAGUCCUUGGGCCCCCUCCACACUCCUGCCAAGAAGCAGCUUCAAAAAUUUUUUGAACAAAGGAACCAGAAGCUCAGCUCAGAGGAUUCACACAUUCAUAUAAUCUUUGCUGACUCCCUAAAGUCCUAGGUUUGACUGUGAAAGAGCAAGUCUGAGGCCUUCUCCCUUUGGGGAAUGUGCAGAAUGUCAGAGGCUACUUCUGUGCAGCUGAAAUUUGCCAACCAUUCACCACUUCACUAGAGGUUCUGUUCCUGCCUCAUGCCCAAAGUGGUAUUUUUGAAGCCAUUGGAAUUUGAAAUGUCAUUUUUAUGUUAUAGUAAUACACAGAUUACAGAUGUAUGCUCAGUAUAAAAAUAAUUCAAAUGACAUAGCAAUAGGUAAUGGAAAAAUGAGUAUCCAUUCCAUCCAUCCUCUUCCCCACUUUCAGCCUUAUUCCCUUCCCUAGAAAUGGCUGCUAUUAACUUGUGAACAUCUUUCUAUGCUUCUUUCUAGACAGAUAUAUAGAAAAAUAGAAUGUGUGUGUAUGUGUGGAGAGUUUUUAAAAAUCAUUAUUGGUAUUAGACUCUAUAAAGUAUUCUGCAUCAUGCUUUUUGUACUGAACAAGUUCUUUCCACUUAGAUCUCUGUAUUAUUCUUUUAAAGUGCUGCAUAGUAUUUAAUAAUUUAUUUAACCAUUCCUCUAUAAUUAGUUAGGUCUUUUAUAAGCUUUACUAUUACAAACAAUGUUUUAGUGAGCUUACUUAUACAUUUAUCCUCAUACAUUCUUCAGAAUGUAUCUGAGAGCAUAUUUCUUAGAAAUAGAAUUGCAGGGUCAAAGAUACAUAUUUUUAUGCCCAUUCUUAUUUUGAUAGAAAAACUGCCAGAUUACUUCUCUCCUCAAAAAAAAAAAAAAAAAAGGCAAAUAAAAAACAGUGCCAGUUUCCUUUCCGAUCAACAAUCUAUAAGAGGAAAUUUGGCAAUUUUGUAACACCAACUCCUCAAACCUCUGCCUGAGGGUAUUUCUCUGCCAGCUAAAAUAUUAUUCUUGGUAUCAGAACUUCCUGGUAGCUGAUGAUCUCUUGGAUGCCUGGUUCUGUGGAGAUAUUUGAUAAGCUGCUCCCUGCCCUACCUUAGUAGAAAUGCACCCCACAGCAGGCUCGGACUCCCACUGUUCCAUGUUCUUCAUAACAAUCAUCUUUCUAUAUUAUAACUUAUCUAGUCAUAUUUUGGCUCUUCAACUAGGGAAUGCUGUCCUCUGGGACAGAAACCAUGCCUAGUCAUCCUUUUAUUCCCAGCACCUAUCAUAGUAUCUGAUAGUGAUCCGUGGUCCCUGAGCUGUUUGAAUGAAUGACAGAAAAGAGAGCGGGAGGAAGGAGAAAGGGAGGGGGAAAAAAACAUAAUUGAUCCCCUGAGGGUCCUCAAACCCAGGAAGACUUAGUAAAGCUCUGUGUGAAGUGGAGGGACAAGAUUUCUAGAUUUCUCCUGUACCCAAGAUAUCUGAGCACUUGGAACCAGAAAAUGUCUUUUAUUUCUCAGCCACUUAUCUGAACUGAGUAACACUGUUCAUCUCCAGUCUUAGAACUGCAAGGUAGAAUAUGGGAUUUGUGAGACAGAAAAGCUCAAACAUUUUGUUCUUUUGAGUUUUCCAAGCACACUGUGCACUUUUCUUUUCUCAUAGCUUAUAUGCUAACAAAGAUGUGUUUGGAAAAAUGAAAAUUGGGGGACUUUCUGGUCUGACUGUAGACUUACCUCUUUCCUGGGAUCUGUCCUCUCAGCGCUCAGGGGCCUUCCCACAACCACAUGGUCUUCUCUCCCACUUCAUU